UGGAGGUGGUGGUGGAGAACUGU
rnacentral:siRNA from 1 species